GCCUUCGUGGUGUAGUGGUCAGCACACUCGACGCGUAUUCGAGAGGUCCGUGGUUCAAGUCCCGGCGAGGGCA
rnacentral:tRNA from 1 species